rnacentral:rRNA from 1 species
UACGUAGGGGGCAAGCGUUGUCCGGAUUUAUUGGGCGUAAAGAGCGUGUAGGCGGUUUGGUAGGUCCGCUGUGAAAACUCGAGCUCAACCUCGAGACGCCGGUGGAAACCAUCAGACUAGAGUCCGGAAGAGGAGAGUGGAAUUCCUGGUGUAGCGGUGAAAUGCGCAGAUAUCAGGAAGAACACCCGUGGCUAAGGCGGCUCUCUAGUACGGUAACUGACGCUGAAGACGCGAAAGCGUGGGGGAG